UGGCGAACGUGUGAGUAACACGUGGGUAAUCUGCCCUGCACUCUGGGAUAAGCCUGGGAAACUGGGUCUAAUACUGGAUAUGACCUUUCUCCUUAUGGGGUUUGGUGGAAAGUUUUUCGGUGUAGGAUGAGCCCGCGGCCUAUCAGCUUGUUGGUGGGGUGAUGGCCUACCAAGGCGACGACGGGUAGCCGGCCUGAGAGGGUGAUCGGCCACAUUGGGACUGAGAUACGGCCCAG
rnacentral:rRNA from 1 species